GUGAGGGACUUCUUCCCUUUUCCUGGGACCGCCCUGCCGGGCCAAUUCCCUGGCCUGCGAAGCCGCAUCUGCAAACACCCCCCACGCCCGGCCCGGCCCGGCCGCCCUCCGCGUGCCCGGCGGGCUGGAGCCUUCGCGUUCCCCCUCGGAGCCGGAGGCCGCCGGACGACCGCGUUCCGGGCGUCCCAAAAGCGGAGCUAUGGGCUUGGUCUCGUCGCGGGCUGGACGAACUGCUUUGGCGGUGUAACCCAGGAGAGGAUCGAACCCUGGAAGUUUAGUAGUUCUCUCCAUGUCCAUCUACCGCUGAAGCUGGGAGGAUAGGUAUAAGGUCAAGCUCUGACUUGCUAUACCUGAAUGUCCUCCAAUGUCUAAUGACCUUAGACAAUGUGACUUCCUCCUCUGGGCCCCAAAUCCUCCUCCCGAAAAUAAAUGGUUUGGAGUAAAAUCAAAUUGGUCUGUGAGCGACCAGGUGAUCUUGAUCUGCCAUUGCCAAGACUCCAACCCCCAGUCGAGGUUUAUAGAUAAAAGCUGGGACUCCACUUCCGUUUAAGUUUGAGGAACCUAAGCCUGGAGCAUGGGUCCUGAGCACUUCCGGAACCGGCUGGCUCCAGCUGCCUCCAGCAUCCUUGUGGGAUGUGGUUCCUCCCCCCAUCCAAGCCGGAUUGCACCUUGGUACAAGCUGCGGCAGAGGCGUAGCUUGAUGGAGGGUAGAUUGGGCAGCCAGCACCGCGGUUUAUUCACUGACUGUGACUUCUUCAAAAGAGACAAGGGGAUACUCAUGGAGGACAUUCAGGGUGUUCAUGAUGAAUCCCCAUUUCACAGCCGAUGACAGUGAGGUUCAGGGAGGUGACGUGACGUGCCCCCAAGCCAUCCAGUAAAUAAAGAAGAGUUCUUUCACAAUCCCACGGGCCUGCUCCUUGGAAAUGUUAGCUGAUGAAGUGAUGAUGGGUGAGAGUCAGCCUCGCGGCUGGGAAAGGGCAAAGGGGCCAGGUGCCCUCUUUGGCCCACCAGGCCACGUGUCCAUGGGAGAAGCAGCCUGGCUCAGAGCCCAAGACCAGGACAUCAGGGGAAGGGUGGCCACCCUGCUUCAAGUCAGCCCAGCAGAGGCACCCCCCCCCCCCCACCCUGCCACCCAAGGGUCAGUGACUUCCUCUGGGUAAAAUCGUUGCAGAGGUGACGUCACCCAGCGAGUGCUAAGCUCAGGCACAUUUGCUCUCUUCAUUGUUGAUUUCUGUCCCCUAGAGAACAAGGUAUCCUCUGGCCCCACCACACCUUCUCCUCAGCCU
ensembl:lncRNA